AAUGAACGCUGGCGGCAGGCCUAACACAUGCAAGUCGAACGGCAGCACCGUAAGAGCUUGCUCUUGCGGGUGGCGAGUGGCGGACGGGUGCCGAAUACAUCGGAAUCUACUUUUUCGUGGGUGAUAACGUAGGGAAACUUCCGCUAAUACCGCAUACGACCUACGUGUGUAAGCAGGGGUUCUUCGGGCCUUUCGCGAUUGAAUAAGCCGAUGUCGGAUUAGAUAGUUGGCGGGUUAAAGGCACACCAAGGCCACGAUCCGUAGCGGGUCCGAGAGGAUGAUCAGCCAGACUGGAACUGAGAAUCGGCACAGACUCUGACGGUAGGAAGCAGUGGGGAAUAUUGGAGAAUGCGGGAAAGGCUGAUCUAGCAAUACCGCGUGAGUGAAGAAGGACUUCGGGUGGGAAAGCGAUGUUGUCGGGAAAGAAAAGAAGCAGGUUAACACGGCACUGUUCUGACGGUACCGAAAGAAUAAGCACCGGCUAACUUCGUG
rnacentral:rRNA from 1 species